CGAUCAAUGGCCACCACACAGCUGCAUCGGCUGCUGCCGCUCCUCCUCUUCCUCCCAUUCUUCUACCUCGCCGGCGGACGGCGGCACACCACCACCUCCCCGCCGCGCCGGCGCGACGCGCCCUCCGGUGGUCUCCCCCCGGUCGUGCUGCUGCCGGGGAGCACCUGCAGCUAGCUGGAGGCACGCCUCACGGACGCCUACGUGCCGCCGUCGCCGCAAUGCGCCGCGCACCACCACGAGGCCGACGGCCGGUGGUUCCGGCUGUGGAAGAACACCACGGAGCUGGACGACCCCGUCGUCGCGCGCGCCCUGCGUCGCCGACCAGCUCCGCCUCGUCUUCGACCACGCCGCCGGUGACUACCACGGCGUCCCCGGCGUGGAGACUCGUGUCCUGGACUUCGGCUCCACCCGUGGGUUCCUCGCCGACGUGCCCGCCAACAGUUCAGCUCGCCGAGACUACUGUCUCCCAUGAAUUGCGCCAACAAAAACACAUCGAUCGUGACGAGAAAUACUGUGGUUUGUACACGCGAGCAGAGACCUCUGCAUGGGAAGGCUCGUCGAGGCGUUGGAGAAAGUCGGCUACCGCGACGGCGAGACCUUGUUCGGCGCGCCGUACGACUUCCGGCAGGCGCCAGCGGCACCGGGGAAGCCGUGCAGGGCGUUCUCGCGGUUCCGGCGUCAGCUCCGGGCGCUUGUCGAGCACGCGAGCAGGACGAACGGGGACCAACCGGUCGUCCUCGUGUCGCACAGCCAGGGCGGCUACUUCGCGCUCGAGUUCAUCAACCGGAGCCCCAUGGCGUGGCGCCGGAGGCACGUCAAGCACUUCGUCAUGGCGUCCACCGGCGCCGGCGGGUUCGUGCUGGGAUUGCAGUCCCUGGUCUCCGGCGUCAGCGACGCCUCCCCGAUGGGCCUUGCCGGGAGGAGCCUCGCCUGCAAGUUCACGUCGCUGCCGUCACCCAAGGUGUUCGACCGCGACACGCCGCUGGUGGUCACGCGGGACAAGAACUACCGGAGCUCCUGACGGCAGUCGGUCUCCCGGCGUACGAGGUGACGCUAUACAAGACGAGGGCGCUGCCGGUGGCGAUGAAUUUCAGGGCGCCGGCGGUGCCGACGACGUGCAUCAACGGCGUCGGCGUGCCGACGACGGAGAAGCUGGUGUACUGGGACGGCGACUUCAGCCAGGCCCCGGAGAUCGUGUACGGCGACGGCGAUGGGGUCGUCAAUUCGGCGAGCAUACUGGCUCUCGACACGGUGAUCGGCGAAGAUCCGAGGCAGGGGUACUACAAGUCCGUCAAGAUCGCCGGCACGUCUCACGACGGCGUUGUCUCUGAUGGUGCCGCCUUGGAGCGUCUGGUUAGUGAGAUUCCUCGGGAGAAUUUUGUGCAAGCUUCGAAGGAGGAGGAUAGUCGGGUUGCUCAACUGUAAUUUAUCAGCACUGGGAUUCCUAUUAGUUGAUCACUUCAUUCUCUUCAACUCAUCGUACACGGCCAGACAAUAAUUCCGCCGUGUUUAGUUACAAAGUUUUUCUUCAAACUUUCAACUUUUUCAUCAUAUCAAAACUUUGCUACACACAAAAACUUCCAAUUUUUCCGUCA